UGGGCAACCUGCCCUCAGCUCUGGGACAACUCCGGGAAACCGGGGCUAAUACCGGAUACGACCUUCCCUCGCAUGGGGGUUGGUGGAAAGUUUUUCGGCUGAGGAUGGGCCCGCGGCCUAUCAGCUUGUUGGUGGGGUAAUGGCUCACCAAGGCGACGACGGAUAACCGGCCUGAGAGGGCGACCGGUCACACUGGGACUGAGACACGGCCCAGACUCCUACGGGAGCA
rnacentral:rRNA from 1 species